rnacentral:rRNA from 1 species
CCUACGGGAGGCUGCAGUGAGGAAUAUUGGUCAAUGGGCGCAAGCCUGAACCAGCCAAGUAGCGUGAAGGAUGACUGCCCUACGGGUUGUAAACUUCUUUUAUAGGGGAAUAAAGUGAGGCACGUGUGCCUUUUUGUAUGUACUUUAUGAAUAAGGAUCGGCUAACUCCGUGCCAGCAGCCGCGGUAAUACGGAGGAUCCGAGCGUUAUCCGGAUUUAUUGGGUUUAAAGGGAGCGUAGAUGGGUUGUUAAGUCAGUUGUGAAAGUUUGCGGCUCAACCGUAAAAUUGCAAUUGAUACUGGAAGUCUUGAGUAUAGUUGAGGUAGGCGGAAUGCGUGGUGUAGCGGUGAAAUGCAUAGAUAUCACGAAGAACUCCGAUUGCGAAGGCAGCUUACUAAACCGUAACUGACACUGAUGCACGAAAGUGUGGGUAUCAAACAGGAUUAGAUACCCGAGUAGUC